rnacentral:lncRNA from 1 species
GGUGAGGGUUCCCAUGUAUUUUUAUCCACUACUAAGGCUUAGUUUGAUAUUGAGAUCUAUCUAACGCUCUAUAUGCUUCUGCGUUUGAUCUCCGGUGAGACCGCAGAAAAUAUAUCGUAAUCGAUUCAUCGCGAUAUGUGAAACGCAAUAUUACAUACGGAAACAAACAUAAUAUUUUUUCAACGUAUUUUCUCACCGUACGUAACGCAAUCUUCUCGCAAUUCUAAACGAAGCCUAAUUAGGAAUAGCAUUGUCGUUUAAGGGAA